UUCUCUGAAAGUUCGGCCCGGAGAUUCGCUGAGUUAUGGUUUCCCUAAAUUAUUGAAUUUAUGCCUAUUUUAUAAUGGUUGGUGCCUGGUAAGAGGAGGAGCCAGUUGAUUUGUGUAGUACGCAUCAAGCAUUGUACUUCAUGUGUGGACUUGCAUGGGUUUUUGCUAGCUGUACCUGUACUUGUUCCUCCACCUCGUACUUAUUGUACUCUUUUAUCUUUUGUACUACAAAUUAUGUAUAUUUCUCGUCAGUUGACUUGUAUCCAAAAUAAUUAUAUGUAUAGUUCUCUUCCCAAGAAAAAAUGAAAUUUUUUAAUAAUUAUAUAACCUUUUCUAGAUAAAGAAUUUCAAUUCAACUUAAAAUGCCAAAGUAUGAUGCUAGUAGAACACAGGUUGAAGUAUGA
rnacentral:lncRNA from 1 species